rnacentral:rRNA from 1 species
UCACGCUGUAAACGAUGUCGAUUUGGAGUUUGUUGCCUAGAGUGAUGGGCUCCGAAGCUAACGCGAUAAAUCGACCACUGGGGAGUACGGCCGCAAGGUUAAAACUCAAAUGAAUUGACGGGGGCCCGCACAAGCGGUGGAGCAUGUGGUUUAAUUCGAUGCAACGCGAAGAACCUUACCUGGUCUUGACAUCCAUAGAAUUCUGCAGAGAUGUGGGAGUGCCUUCGGGAACUAUGAGACAGGUGCUGCAUGGCUGUCGUCAGCUCGUGUUGUGAAAUGUUGGGUUAAGUCCCGCAACGAGCGCAACCCUUAUUCUUUGUUGCCAGCGAUUUGGUCGGGAACUCAAAGGAGACUGCCGUUGAUAAAGCGGAGGAAGGUGGGGACGACGUCAAGUCAUCAUGGCCCUUACGACCAGGGCUACACACGUGCUACAAUGGCGUAUACAAAGGGAAGCGAAGGUGCGAGCUGGAGCGGAUCUCAUAAAGUACGUCUAAGUUCGGAUUGGAGUCUGCAACUCGACUCCAUGAAGUCGGAAUCGCUAGUAAUCGUAGAUCAGAAUGCUACGGUGAAUACGUUCCCGGGCCUUGUACACACCGCCCGUCACACCAUGGGAGUGGGUUGCACCAGAAGUAGAUAGCUUAACCGCGAGGGGGGCGUUUACCACGGUGUGAUUCAUGACUGGGGUGAAGUCGUAACAAGGUAACCA